rnacentral:rRNA from 1 species
AUAAAGUGGCGAACGGCUGAGUAACACGUGGGCAACCUGCCCUUUGCACUGGGAUAGCCUCGGGAAACCGAGGUUAAUACCGGAUACUCCAUAUUUGUCGCAUGGCGAAUACGGGAAAGCUCCGGCGGCAAAGGAUGGGCCCGCGGCCUGUUAGCUAGUUGGUGGGGUAGUGGCCUACCAAGGCAAUGAUGGGUAGCCGGGUUGAGAGACCGACCGGCCAGAUUGGGACUGAGACACGGCCCAGACUCCUACGGGAGGCAGCAGCG